GACGAACGCUGGCGGCGUGCUUAACACAUGCAAGUCGAACGGGCCCGCCCCUGUUUUUGGGGGUGGGUUGAGUGGCGAACGGGUGAGUAUCACGUGAGUAACCUGCCCCCUGCUCCUGGAUAACUGCUUGAAAGGGCGGCUAAUACGGGGUGUGCCGGCUGGUCCGCAUGGGCCUGGUCGGGAUAGUUUCAUCUUCGGGUGUUUCGGUGGGGGAUGGGCUCGCGGCCUAUCAGCUUGUUGGUGGGGUGAUGGCCCACCAAGGCGGUGACGGGUAGCCGGCGUGAGAGGGUGGGCGGCCACACUGGGACUGAGACACGGCCCAGACUCCUGCGGGAGGCAGCAGUGGGGGGUAUUGCACAAUGGGCGGAAGCCGGAUGCAGCGACGUCGCGUGAGGGAUGGAGGCCUUCGGGUUGUGAACCUCUUUCUCCGGUGGUGAAGGCCCUGUCCGUUGCGGCGGGGUUGACGGUAGCCGGGUAUGAAGCGCCGGCUAACUACGUG
rnacentral:rRNA from 1 species